rnacentral:lncRNA from 1 species
CCCCCCCUUAAAAUAUUUAGAUGCACUAUUGUAAAGUGGUUGUUCCACUGGAUAUCAUAAGGUGAAUGCACCAUUUUGUAAGUCGCUCUGGAUAAGAGCGUCUGCUAAAUGACUUAAAUGUAAAUAAAUGUAAAUGUAAAUGUGCAACCAGAGGAAAAAGAACUCUGGACCACCUAUACUCCACACACAGAGAUGCUUACAAAGCUCUCCCUUGCCCUCCAUUUGGCAAAUUUGACCAUAAUUCUAUCCUCCUGAUUCCUGCUUACAAGCUAAAAUUCAAGCAGGAAGCACCAGUGACUAGAUCAAUAGAAAAGUGGCCAGAUUAAGCAGAUGCUAAAUUACAGGACUGUUUUGCUAGCACAGACGGGAAUAUGUUCCGGGAUUCCUCCGAUGGCAUUGAGGAGUACACCACAUCAGUCAUUGGCUUCAUCAAUAAGUGCAUCGAUGACGUCAUCCCCACAGUGACCAUACGUACAUACCCCAACCAGAAGCCAUGGAUUACAGGCAGCAUCCUCACUGAGCUAAAGGCUAGAAUUGCCGCUUUCAAGGAGCUGGACUCUAACCCGGAAGCUUAUAAGAAAUCCCGCUAUCCCCCCGACGAACCAUCUAACAGGCAAAGCGUCAAUACAGGACUAAGAUCGAAUCGUACUACACCGGCUCUGAUGCUCGUCGGAUGUGGCAGGGCUUGCAAAUCAUUACAGACUACAAAGGAAGCACAGCCGAGAGCUGCCCAGUGACACAAACUUACCAGACGGCUAAACUACUUCUAUGCUCGCUUCGAGGCAAAUAACACUGAAACAUGCAUGAGAGCACCAGCUGUUCCGGGAAGACUGUGUGAUCACGCUCUCUGCAGCUGAUGUGAGUAAGAACCUUUAAACAGGUCAACAUUCACAAGGCCGCAGGGCCAGACGGAUUACCAGGACGUGUACUCCGAGCAUAUGCUGACCAACCAGACAGUGUCUUCACUGACAUUUUCAACCUCUCCCUGUCUGUGUCUAUAAUACCAACAUGUUUUAAGCAGACCACCAUAGUGCCUGUGCCCAAGAACACUAAGGUAACCUGCCUAAAUGACUACUGACCCGUAGCACUCACAUCUGUAGCCAUGAAGUGCUUUGCAAGGCUGUUCAUGGCUCACGUCAACACCAUCAUUCCAUGAAACCCUAGACCAACUGAAUUUGCAUACCGUCCCAACAGAUCCACAGAUGAUGCAAUCUUUAUUGCACUCCACACUGCCCUUUCACACCUGGACAAAAGGAACACCUAUGUGAGAAAGCUAUUCAUUGACUACAGCUCAGUGUUUAGCACCAUAGUGGCCUCAAAGCUCAUCAAUAAGCUAAGGAACCUGAGACUAAACACCUCCCUCUGCAACUGGAUCCUGGACUUCCUGACAGGCCUCCCCCAGGUGGUAAAGGUUAUAUCAGCUGUGUCGGUGAACCCCUCCUGCAUCUGAACUGGCUACAUAGAGGGCACAGCAUGAUCAGAGGACGCCAACCCCGAGUCCCGUCAUCGCCACCUCACUCGCUCUUAAGAUAACCUUCGGGCCGACUGGGAGCCCAGGGCUGGUUAGGAGACACCACUAGAGACGCUAUUAUGUAAUUGUGAUGAACAGAGAAUAUUAGGGUACCACUGUGAUUCAUAUGCUGCCUUCCCCUUCUGUCGUUUACACCUCUCUCGCCACCUCCUCUUUCUUCCUCUGAUUUUAUAAUGCACAACAGAUGUGCAUUGAAGUUCAGUUUGAACUUGUAUUUAUAAUAUAAUAUUACAAUUAUUAGAUUUAUAAUGCAUGUAUUAUGUAUUUAUAACACUUGGAUAAUGAAG